rnacentral:rRNA from 1 species
GAAGAAGGCCUUUUGGUUGUAAAGCUCUUUUUGCAGGGAGGAGAGGCUAAUGGUUAAUACCCAUUAGAUUAGACGUUACCUGCAGAAUAAGCCCCGGCUAACUCUGUGCCAGCCGCCGCGGUAAUACAGAGGGUGCGAGCGUUAAUCGGAAUUACUGGGCGUAAAGCGAGUGUAGGUGGCUCAUUAAGUCACAUGUGAAAUCCCCGGGCUUAACCUGGGAACUGCAUGUGAUACUGGUGGUGCUAGAAUAUGUGAGAGGGAAUUAGAAUUCCAGGUGUAGCGGUGAAAUGCGUAAAGAUCUGGAGGAAUACCGAUGGCGAAGGCAGCUUCCUGGCAUAAUAUUGACACUGAGAUUCGAAAGCGUGGGUAGCAAACAGGAUUAGAUACCCUGGUAGUCCACGCCGUAAACGAUGUCUACUAGCCGUUGGGGUCCUUGAGACUUUACUGGCGCAGUUAACGCGAUAAGUAGACCGCCUGGGGAGUACGGCCGCAAGGUUAAAACUCAAAUGAAUUGACGGGGGCCCGCACAAGCGGUGGAGCAUGUGGUUUAAUUCUAUGCAACGCGAAGAACCUUACCUGGUCUUGACAUACUGAGAAUCCUGCA